CCUACGGGUGGCAGCAGUGGGGAAUAUUGGACAAUGGGGGGAACCCUGAUCCAGCGACGCCGCGUGAGUGAAGAAGUAUUUCGGUAUGUAAAGCUCUAUCAGCAGGGAAGAAAGAAAUGACGGUACCUGACUAAGAAGCCCCGGCUAACUACGUGCCAGCAGCCGCGGUAAUACGUAGGGGGCAAGCGUUAUUCGGAUUUACUGGGUGUAAAGGGAGCGUAGACGGCGUUGCAAGUCUGAAGUGAAAGGCGGGGGCCCAACCUCCGGGCUGCUGUGGAAAAUGUAUGGCUGGAGGGCAGGAGAGGUAAGUGGAAUUCCUAGUGUAACAGUGAAAUACGUAGAGAUUAGGAUGAUAACCAGUGGGGAAGGCGGGUUACUGGUCUGUAACUGCCGUUGAGGCUCGAAAGCGUGUGGAGCAAACAGGAUUAGAUACCC
rnacentral:rRNA from 1 species